GGUUAAGCGACUAAGCGUACACGGUGGAUGCCCUGGCAGUCAGAGGCGAUGAAGGACGUGCUAAUCUGCGAUAAGCGUCGGUAAGGUGAUAUGAACCGUUAUAACCGGCGAUUUCCGAAUGGGGAAACCCAGUGUGAUUCGUCACACUAUCAUUAACUGAAUCCAUAGGUUAAUGAGGCGAACCGGGGGAACUGAAACAUCUAAGUACCCCGAGGAAAAGAAAUCAACCGAGAUUCCCCCAGUAGCGGCGAGCGAACGGGGAGCAGCCCAGAGCCUGAAUCAGUGUGUGUGUUAGUGGAAGCGUCUGGAAAGGCGCGCGAUACAGGGUGACAGCCCCGUACACAAAAAUGCACAUGCUGUGAGCUCGAUGAGUAGGGCGGGACACGUGGUAUCCUGUCUGAAUAUGGGGGGACCAUCCUCCAAGGCUAAAUACUCCUGACUGACCGAUAGUGAACCAGUACCGUGAGGGAAAGGCGAAAAGAACCCCGGCGAGGGGAGUGAAAAAGAACCUGAAACCGUGUACGUACAAGCAGUGGGAGCCUCUUAAUGGGGUGACUGCGUACCUUUUGUAUAAUGGGUCAGCGACUUAUAUUCUGUAGCAAGGUUAACCGAAUAGGGGAGCCGAAGGGAAACCGAGUCUUAACUGGGCGUUAAGUUGCAGGGUAUAGACCCGAAACCCGGUGAUCUAGCCAUGGGCAGGUUGAAGGUUGGGUAACACUAACUGGAGGACCGAACCGACUAAUGUUGAAAAAUUAGCGGAUGACUUGUGGCUGGGGGUGAAAGGCCAAUCAAACCGGGAGAUAGCUGGUUCUCCCCGAAAGCUAUUUAGGUAGCGCCUCGUGAAUUCAUCUCCGGGGGUAGAGCACUGUUUCGGCAAGGGGGUCAUCCCGACUUACCAACCCGAUGCAAACUGCGAAUACCGGAGAAUGUUAUCACGGGAGACACACGGCGGGUGCUAACGUCCGUCGUGAAGAGGGAAACAACCCAGACCGCCAGCUAAGGUCCCAAAGUCAUGGUUAAGUGGGAAACGAUGUGGGAAGGCCCAGACAGCCAGGAUGUUGGCUUAGAAGCAGCCAUCAUUUAAAGAAAGCGUAAUAGCUCACUGGUCGAGUCGGCCUGCGCGGAAGAUGUAACGGGGCUAAACCAUGCACCGAAGCUGCGGCAGCGACACUAUGUGUUGUUGGGUAGGGGAGCGUUCUGUAAGCCUGCGAAGGUGUACUGUGAGGUAUGCUGGAGGUAUCAGAAGUGCGAAUGCUGACAUAAGUAACGAUAAAGCGGGUGAAAAGCCCGCUCGCCGGAAGACCAAGGGUUCCUGUCCAACGUUAAUCGGGGCAGGGUGAGUCGACCCCUAAGGCGAGGCCGAAAGGCGUAGUCGAUGGGAAACAGGUUAAUAUUCCUGUACUUGGUGUUACUGCGAAGGGGGGACGGAGAAGGCUAUGUUGGCCGGGCGACGGUUGUCCCGGUUUAAGCGUGUAGGCUGGUUUUCCAGGCAAAUCCGGAAAAUCAAGGCUGAGGCGUGAUGACGAGGCACUACGGUGCUGAAGCAACAAAUGCCCUGCUUCCAGGAAAAGCCUCUAAGCAUCAGGUAACAUCAAAUCGUACCCCAAACCGACACAGGUGGUCAGGUAGAGAAUACCAAGGCGCUUGAGAGAACUCGGGUGAAGGAACUAGGCAAAAUGGUGCCGUAACUUCGGGAGAAGGCACGCUGAUAUGUAGGUGAAGUCCCUCGCGGAUGGAGCUGAAAUCAGUCGAAGAUACCAGCUGGCUGCAACUGUUUAUUAAAAACACAGCACUGUGCAAACACGAAAGUGGACGUAUACGGUGUGACGCCUGCCCGGUGCCGGAAGGUUAAUUGAUGGGGUUAGCGGUAACGCGAAGCUCUUGAUCGAAGCCCCGGUAAACGGCGGCCGUAACUAUAACGGUCCUAAGGUAGCGAAAUUCCUUGUCGGGUAAGUUCCGACCUGCACGAAUGGCGUAAUGAUGGCCAGGCUGUCUCCACCCGAGACUCAGUGAAAUUGAACUCGCUGUGAAGAUGCAGUGUACCCGCGGCAAGACGGAAAGACCCCGUGAACCUUUACUAUAGCUUGACACUGAACAUUGAGCCUUGAUGUGUAGGAUAGGUGGGAGGCUUUGAAGUGUGGACGCCAGUCUGCAUGGAGCCGACCUUGAAAUACCACCCUUUAAUGUUUGAUGUUCUAACGUUGGCCCCUGAUCGGGGUUGCGGACAGUGUCUGGUGGGUAGUUUGACUGGGGCGGUCUCCUCCUAAAGAGUAACGGAGGAGCACGAAGGUUGGCUAAUCCUGGUCGGACAUCAGGAGGUUAGUGCAAUGGCAUAAGCCAGCUUGACUGCGAGCGUGACGGCGCGAGCAGGUGCGAAAGCAGGUCAUAGUGAUCCGGUGGUUCUGAAUGGAAGGGCCAUCGCUCAACGGAUAAAAGGUACUCCGGGGAUAACAGGCUGAUACCGCCCAAGAGUUCAUAUCGACGGCGGUGUUUGGCACCUCGAUGUCGGCUCAUCACAUCCUGGGGCUGAAGUAGGUCCCAAGGGUAUGGCUGUUCGCCAUUUAAAGUGGUACGCGAGCUGGGUUUAGAACGUCGUGAGACAGUUCGGUCCCUAUCUGCCGUGGGCGCUGGAGAACUGAGGGGGGCUGCUCCUAGUACGAGAGGACCGGAGUGGACGCAUCACUGGUGUUCGGGUUGUCAUGCCAAUGGCACUGCCCGGUAGCUAAAUGCGGAAGAGAUAAGUGCUGAAAGCAUCUAAGCACGAAACUUGCCCCGAGAUGAGUUCUCCCUGACUCCUUGAGAGUCCUGAAGGAACGUUGAAGACGACGACGUUGAUAGGCCGGGUGUGUAAGCGCAGCGAUGCGUUGAGCUAACCGGUACUAAUGAACCGUGAGGCUUAACCUU
rnacentral:rRNA from 1 species